GUGUUCACUUCAGCAGCACAUAUGCUAAAAUCGGAAUGAUACAGAGAGGAUCAGCAUGACCCCUGUGCAAGGAGGCCGUGCAAAUUCACGAAGUGUUUCAUAUUUUU
ensembl:snRNA U6 U6 spliceosomal RNA